UACGUAGGGUGCGAGCGUUGUCCGGAAUUAUUGGGCGUAAAGGGCUCGUAGGCGGUUUGUCACGUCAGGAGUGAAAACUCGGGGCUCAACCCCGAGCCUGCUUCUGAUACGGGCAGACUAGAGGUAUGCAGGGGAGAACGGAAUUCCUGGUGUAGCAGUGAAAUGCGCAGAUAUCAGGAGGAACACCGGUGGCGAAGGCGGUUCUCUGGGCAUUACCUGACGCUGAGGAGCGAAAGUGUGGGGAGCGAACAGG
rnacentral:rRNA from 1 species